CCCUUAGAUGUCCUGGGCCGCACGCGCGCUACACUGACAUGUUCAACAAGCCUCCUAGUUCGACAGGAUUUGGGAAAUCUUUGAACGCAUGUCGUGAUAGGGAUAGAUCAUUGCAAUUAUUGAUCUUGAACGAGGAAUUCCUAGUAAACGCGAGUCAUCAGCUCGCAUUGAUUACGUCCCUGCCCUUUGUACACACCGCCCGUCGCACCUACCGAUUGAAUGAUCCGGUGAAGCCUCGGGAUUGUGCCCAGAGAACUUUAUUGUGAUUUGGGUGUGAGAACUUGUCUAAACCUUAUCAUUUAGAGGAAGGUGAAGUCGUAACA
rnacentral:rRNA from 1 species